rnacentral:rRNA from 1 species
UACGUAGGGGGCAAGCGUUGUCCGGAAUCAUUGGGCGUAAAGAGCGCGUAGGCGGCCCUGUAAGUCCGCUGUGAAAGUCGGGGGCUCAACCCUCGGAUGCCGGUGGAUACUGUCGGGCUUGAGUACGGAAGAGGCGAGUGGAAUUCCUGGUGUAGCGGUGAAAUGCGCAGAUAUCAGGAGGAACACCAAUUGCGAAGGCAGCUCGCUGGGACGUUACUGACGCUGAGACGCGAAAGCGUGGGGAGCAAACAGG